UACGUAGGGUGCAAGCGUUGUCCGGAAUUAUUGGGCGUAAAGAGCUCGUAGGCGGUUUGUCGCGUCUGCUGUGAAAACCCGAGGCUCAACCUCGGGCCUGCAGUGGGUACGGGCAGACUAGAGUGUGGUAGGGGAGACUGGAAUUCCUGGUGUAGCGGUGGAAUGCGCAGAUAUCAGGAGGGAACACCAAUGGCGAAGGCAGGUC
rnacentral:rRNA from 1 species